GGGAAUUUUUCGCAAAGGGCGAAAACCUGACGGAGCAAGACCGCGUGAGGGAAGAAGGCCUUUGGGUUGUAAACCUCUUUUCUCAGGGAAGAAAGCAAUGACGGUACCUGAGGAAUAAGCCUCGGCUAACUCCGUGCCAGCAGCCGCGGUAAGACGGAGGAGGCAAGCGUUAUCCGGAAUCACUGGGCGUAAAGCGUCCGCAGGUGGCUUUCCAAGUCUGCCGUCAAAGCCCGAGGCUUAACCUCGGAUCGGCGGUGGAAACGGGAUCUCUAGAGUGCGUCAGGGGUAGGGGGAAUUCCCCGUGUAGCGUUGAAAUCAAAGGAUUAGAUAGACCAGCAGUCAUGAGAAUGCUCCCGCAAUGAGAUAGAACUCUCAGUCGUGCAUGCAUGGC
rnacentral:rRNA from 1 species